UACGGAGGGUGCAAGCGUUAUCCGGAUUCACUGGGUUUAAAGGGUGCGUAGGUGGGCAGGUAAGUCAGUGGUGAAAUCUCUGAGCUUAACUCAGAAACUGCCGUUGAUACUAUCUGUCUUGAAUAUAGUGGAGGUGAGCGGAAUAUGUCAUGUAGCGGUGAAAUGCUUAGAUAUGACAUAGAACACCAAUUGCGAAGGCAGCUUGCUACACUAUCAUUGACACUGAGGCACGAAAG
rnacentral:rRNA from 1 species